UGCCUUUUGUAAUAAUAUAUAAGGUAUAUUCUGCCCAGUGAAGAAUUCAACGGCCGCGGUAUCCUGACCGUGCAAAGGUAGCAUAAUCACUUGCCCCUUAAUUAGGGGCUAGAAUGAAAGAAUUAACGAAAAAUCAACUGUCUCACUUAUAUUAUUAAAAUUUAAUUUUUAGGUGAAGAAGCCUAAAUAAAAAUAAAAGACAAGAAGACCCUAUCAAGCUUUAAUUAAUUAAUUAUAUUAUUAAUAGUAAAAAUUUUUAUUGGGGCGAUAUGAAAUAUUAAAAUCCAUUUCUAAUAAUAAGAAUAAUAAUUCUUUAUAAUUAACUUCUUAAAAAUUUAAAAAAGCUACUGUAGGGAUAACAGGCUAAUAUUUCUUGAGAGCUCUUAUCAACAGAAAUGAUUGGCACCUCGAUGUUGGCUUUGGAUACCAAGUUUGUGCAGAAGCAAACUAUGGUGGUUUGUUCAACCAUAAAAUUCCU
rnacentral:rRNA from 1 species